rnacentral:rRNA from 1 species
UACGGAGGGUGCAAGCGUUAUCCGGAGUUACUGGGCGUAAAGCGUGCGUAGGCGGAUGAGUAAGUGGGUGGUGAAAGCGCCCGGCUAAACCGGGCGAGGUCCAUUCAGACUGCUUGUCUAGAGGCGGAUAGAGGGGUGCGGAAUUCCGGGUGUAGCGGUGAAAUGUGUAGAGAUCCGGAGGAACACCAGUUGUGCAAACGGCGCCCUGGGUCCGAACUGACGCUGGAAGCAACGGAAAGCCGUGGGGAGCGAACGGG